UACAGAGGUCUCAAGCGUUGUUCGGAUUCAUUGGGCGUAAAGGGUGUGUAGGUGGCGCCGUAAGUCGGGUGUGAAAUUUCGGAGCUUAACUCCGAAACUGCAUUCGAUACUGCGGUGCUUGAGGACUGGAGAGGAGACUGGAAUUCAUGGUGUAGCAGUGAAAUGCGUAGAGAUCAUGAGGAAGACCAGUGGCGAAGGCGGGUCUCUGGACAGUUCCUGACACUGAGACACGAAGGCCAGGGGAGCAAGCGGG
rnacentral:rRNA from 1 species